AAUACAGAGAUGAAAUGGUGACACUUUAAAUUAAGGCGGAAAAGAAUUUUCAUUCAUGUUUGUCCUAUAUGGCUUUCAUCAUAUUGAUAUGAAUUAUACAAAUUACAAUUCAUCUUGACAUAAAGAUAUUGAUGAUGUGCUUCGCGGCUAUAUAGAUUUAAAAUAUAAAGUGCAAACAUGCUCACUUUUGGUUGAUGCGGUCAAACAUUCUUGUUAUAGGAGUCAGCCUGAGGUAUCGAAAUUACUGACAUUUUGUUGCGAGACAAUACCUUUGUAUGUUGAACAAAAAGGGGACAUGCUGGAAAUCUGAAUGCGAACAAGUCUUUGUAGUUAUUGACCUCCAAUAUUGCUGUCAUUUGUAUUAUACGUUAAUUCUGACAUAAAAAUAUUGCUGAUUUGCUAAGCGGCUAUAUAGAUAUGCAAAAUGAAGUGCAAAUAUGGUCAGUUAAGGUUGAUGCAGUCAAAUAAUAAAAAUGUACAAGUCAGUCUGAGGUAUCAAAACUAAUAAAAUUUUGUUACAAUAUUUCGAAAAAAAGGAGGACAUGCCAGGAUCCUAUAUUUAUGCAUACACAAUUUUGUAGUUUGUGUUCCAAUACUGCUGUCAUUUGUGUUAUACAUUAAUCCUGAUAUGAAAAUAUUGCUGAUUUGCUAUGAGGCUAUAUAGAUUUAUAAAAAUGGAGUGUAAAUACGGUCACUUUUGGUUGUUGCGGUCAAGUAUUCUUUUUAUAGGAGUCAGCCUGAAAUAUCAAAAGUGUUGAAAUUUCGUUACGUAUCAAUAUCUUUUAUUAGAGGAAAAGGUUUCUGGAAGUUGAACAACUUUUUACUUUAUGAUCUAGAAUAUAUAAAUACAGUUAAACAAAAGAUUAGUGAAAUCAAAGCACAAUAUUGUACACUUGUUUAUAUUUUGACAAUUUUUAUGAGAUUGAUAAUGUAGAUAUUCAAUUGAGAAUUAAACACCAACUUUUUCUUGAAACUUUAUUGAUAGAAAUCAUAGGGAACAGUACUUCCAGUUACAGUUACAAAAAAAAAGGAAUCUGAAAAAAGGGAAACAACUUUACGAAAUGAAAUUAUACAGUUAUAGGAUAAUCGCUGGGAUAAAGCUGAUGACCGUAACUGCAUUCACGGUCAUCCCAAGAUGUCAGAUAAAAAAUUAGGUCAGUUUCUGUAUUGUCUGUUAAAGUGUUUCUAUAUCAUUUUUUUUA
rnacentral:lncRNA from 1 species